rnacentral:rRNA from 1 species
AGCAGCCGCGGUAAUUCCAGCUCCAAUAGCGUAUAUUAAAGUUGUUGCAGUUAAAAAGCUCGUAGUUGAAUUUCGGGGUUAGUAGGUUGGUCGUGCCACUGGUGCGUACUGAUCUCACUGAUUCCUCCUUCCUGAUGAACUGUAAUGCCAUUAAUUUGGUGUUGCAGGGAAACUGGACUGUUACUUUGAAAAAAUUAGAGUGUUUAAAGCAAGCUAACGCUUGAAUACAUUAGCAUGGAAUAAUGAAAUAGGACGUUCGAUCCUAUUUUGUUGGUUUCUAGGAUUGACGUAAUGAUUAAUAGGGAUAGUUGGGGGCAUUAGUAUUCAAUUGUCAGAGGUGAAAUUCUUGGAUUUAUUGAAGACUAACUACUGCGAAAGCAUUUGCCAAGGAUGUUUUCAUUAAUCAAGAACGAAAGUUAGGGGAUCGAAGACGAUCAGAUACCGUCGUAGUCUUAACCAUAAACUAUGCCGACUAGGGAUCGGAUGAUGUUAAUUUUUAAUGACUCAUUCGGCGUCCG